rnacentral:lncRNA from 1 species
GAAAUACAUUGGGAAUGAACACGUAAUAUUUGUCAAACAACCCACAGUGAUUAAAGAAAUACUUUAUACCUUUGGCGUUCUCUUUAAGAAGAUGUUCUUCUUGGUCAUCUGCUUGAUCAAGAAGCUUCUUGUCUUCAGCUUUGGCCAUUGCUCUUUGUCGUAGAUGGUCACUUUUGAUUGUACGCCUCUUACACUCAUUGUUGUUAUUAUUUUCAUCAUAGCCAGUUCUAAUAUUUAAGUGUCCCAACAGAAACUCAACGUUCUCUUUAUCAACACUGAAUUCUGUGUCUUCUGAAGCUCUCAUCCAUUUAUCUUGGCUAUUUUUAUCAGUGCUUUCUUCUUUCCUGAUUGCAAACUGCCCAUCUUGUGCCUUUGAUUGGUCCUUUGAUUCUUUACUGUCUUCAUAAUUGGCUUCUUUGUCGUCUUUCACAGGAUGCUCAAACAACACACCACUUUUAAUCUCAGUUUCAUCAAGAUUAAGAGUUGCAUUACGAGGUUCUUCUUCAAGAACGGCUUCUGGGAAAGAAACAAUUUGGAUUUGAUCUUGAACAGUGGUGUCUGCACUGGUUUCAUUAGAUUUUAUUGGUUCCUCAUCAUCGAUAAAAGCUUCAGAUGUGAGCUCCUCUACAUUGCUCACUUCACUGUGGCCUCCAUCAGUGGUUUCUGUAGUGGUUUCAGAUGAUUCUGUUGGUUCUUCUUCAUUUAGAAUAUCCAGAACAUCAGAUACACCAACAGUUUCAGUUGUGUCAUCAUCAAAAAUCACAUCAGUCAUUUCAAGUAAUUUUACUUCACCUACUUCACCCACGACUUCAGACAAUUCCUCAAUAGUUUCGGACAUGGCCUCUUUAGAUAUGACAUCAAGUAAUGAGUUCAUUUUGUCUGUUAUGACCACAGAAUCAUCUUCACCAAGUUUAGUGUCUUCCUCCAUAUUCAUAAUCUUAAUAACAUCUUCGCCAGGUGUAGUGUCCUCCUCAAUAUCAUCUUCACCAGGUGUAGUGUCCUCCUCAAUAUCAUCUUCACCAGGUGUAGUGUCCUCCUCAAUAAUAUCUUCACCAGUUGUAGCAUAUUCCUCCUCAUCCAUAACCUCAAUAUCAUCUUCAGAAUCUUCCAUAAUAUCUUCAGAAGGCAUCUCAUCAAGUGAAUCUAUCUGGUCUAAAGCUUUUGCUCCAGGAGCUUCUGCUUGUCUUUGGUCCUCCACAUCUUUCACUUCAGCCUCCUUCGCCUCUUGUUUAGCAACAGCUUCCUUCAAAAGUCUGCUCCUCAUUUCUCGGUAUGCAGCUUCACGAGUUCUGCCCAACACCUCUGCAACUGUUUCAUGAAGCCAUUU